CAGCAGCCGCGGUAAUACGAAGGGGGCUAGCGUUGCUCGGAAUGACUGGGCAUAAAGGGCGCGUAGGCGGAUUGUUUAGUUAGGCGUGAAAUUCCUGGGCUUAACCUGGGGACUGCGCUUAAUACAGGCAGUCUAGAGUGAGGAAGAGGGUUGUGGAAUUCCCAGUGUAGAGGUGAAAUUCGUAGAUAUUGGGAAGAACACCGGUGGCGAAGGCGGCAACCUGGUCCUUGACUGACGCUGAGGCGCGAAAGCGUGGGGAGCAAACAGGAUUAGAUACCCCCGUAGUCCCUGUCUCUUAUAC
rnacentral:rRNA from 1 species